GACGAACCGUGCGAACGUUAUUCGGAAUCACUGGGCUUAAAGCGCGUGUAGGCGGGACGGCACGUCGGUAGCUGAAAUCCCCCGGCUCAACCGGGGAACGGGCGCCGAUACGACCGCCCUGGAGGGACGUAGGGGGACCUGGAACUUCCGGUGGAGCGGUGAAAUGCGUUGAGAUCGGAAGGAACGCCCGUGGCGAAAGCGAGGUCCUGGACGUUUUCUGACGCUGAGACGCGAAAGCCAGGGGAGCGAACGGGAUUAGAUACCCCGGUAGUCCUGGCCGUAAACGAUGGGCACUGGGUAGGGGGCUCGCCGAUGGGCUCCCUGCCGUAGGGAAACCGUGAAGUGCCCCGCCUGGGGAGUAUGGUCGCAAGGCUGAAACUCAAAG
rnacentral:rRNA from 1 species